GUAUGUUCAAAGACUGUCCUCUACUUACUUGAUUCUAGAGUUGCUCACAAUGGAUGCUGUGACUAAAAUGAGAGUUUCAAAGAGUCGGGAGGAAAUCUGGACAAGAAGGGAACACAACAGAAAGACAACUGGAAUAGGAAGGAGGAUUUGACCAAAAUGAGUUCAUGAGUCUGGGACACUGGCCAAAAAAACUCUACAGACCAUCGAAGACUAAUUCAUUUCUGGACACGGGUCAUCUAGCCCAAUUCCUAGGAAUUAGUUUUGGUAUCUCCUUUAUCUAUGUUCAUAGCAACAAGAAAGGAUGCAUCCUUCAACCCCUUCACCCCUCACUCCAUCCCCCAUGGACAAGUGUUUUGGCAUACUAAAACAAUAUAAUUCUACAAGAAGAGGACACCUGUUUAAGUCAUUCUUUUCUUUCUUUUUCUUCCCUUAUUCCAAAGCACAAGACAAAUGAAAAGUAGUCCAGUUACCCCAGUUCGGACCACACUUUUAAAUUUUGGCAUCAAUCUGGUAUCCACUGAAAUAUCUAGAAAUAUGGCAUAUAUGACUCGUUGUUAGCAGCAGAUGCUUGGGUCUACUUAUUAAAGGCACUAUUGGGUCUUCCUAAAUGAAUAGUUAAAGCAGAAAAUUAGCUGCUUAAGAGGUGCUAUUUGAAAGAUUCAGGGCGAAGUUUUGCCCAAAAUUAUUUCCUUCACUGUGUCUGCCAGAACCUGAAAUUCAAGUAUCAGACAGCUUUUGUUUCUUGAAUUAAAAUAUUUUUCU